GUGGGUAUAGCUCAGUGGUAGAGCAUAUGCUUAGCAUGCACAAGGUCCUGGGUUCAAUCUCCAAUACCUCCA
rnacentral:tRNA from 1 species